UUAUUUUUUGGCCACGCCCUCUCUGUGUAUGUAACUGGCUUCUGGCUUUCGUAACACUUCCGCCUUUUUAAAUUGUCGCGUCUGCUGGAAACAGGUUCGAGAUAAAGACGACGGUCUGCGAGGUUUACGAACGAAAAAAACGCUAUGGUCUGAUUAGUGAUCAAAGCCUGCGCCUAUGUGGUGAGGAAGAUCCGGGCGUCGAUCGCUGAUGGGGAGCAGUCGGAGGGGCCCAUCGAAACACCAUGUAGUGCUGCGGCUAAACAGAAAGCAGUGCAGGAGUCCAACGCUCAGCCAGCAACUGGCCUCCUGAGCUCAGGGACAGAUGUGGGCGUCCGUGGAGCGACGGGGUCCAGCACGUCGGCGGCUCUGCAGAACUGCGGCUCCUGACAAUAGGAGAAGUCAUUUGUAGCGUAACCAGAAAUGGCUGUCGUGUUUUAUCGCCAUAAAUCCAUGGACAGCGUUUCUGUUGUUGUGCUCUAAAAUGACUUGUCUGAUCCUGAAGGAGGCCUCUUCAGCACAGGCCUGAGAUUGUCUGGUCACUGCAGCCUGUGAUGACCAGUUCACCAACCCUUUAUUCUGAGGGCUGGACUGGUCUGAUGUUUCUGCUGCUGUGUCAAUGAAGACUGGAGAAUUUGGCUUUUAAUGUGUUUGAUGAAAAUAAAAGAAAUGCAUAUUAA